rnacentral:rRNA from 1 species
GACAGAGGGUGCAAACGUUGUUCGGAUUUACUGGGCGUAAAGCGCGUGUAGGCGGCUUGGCAAGUUGGAUGUGAAAGCCCACGGCUCAACCGUGGAAUUGCGCUCGAGACUGAAGGGCUCGAGGACGGGAGAGGAUGGUGGAAUUCCCAGUGUAGAGGUGAAAAUUCGUAGAUAUUGGGAAGAACACCGGUGGCGAAGGCGGCCAUCUGGACCGUAUCUGACGCUGAGGCGCGAAAAGCGUGGGGGAGCAAACAGGG